CCAGAACUUUCCAAGCCAAGAAACCCCUCUCUCUCACUCAUCCACUUGCUUGCUAUUUGUGGAAACCGGGUUCAAUAGUAUAAUAGUAUUCCUCCCAAUAUAUCUAGAAACUUCUUAAACACUAUUCUUCUAAUUAUUUAUCCGAAUCCUUUUGUUUAUCACUGACUAAUACUAUUUUAACUUCCUCCUUAUAUAUAAUCACUUAAAACACGCCAGCACUGGCUCUCUUCAUAGAUAAGGGGUGACACACAUGAGUGAGUGUGUGUAAUGUGUUAUAAGUUAUAACAAACUGUCCGUUCUUCUUUCUUUCUAUAACCGUCUCAACGACUUUCUCACUAUAGAAUUUGUUUCUAUAAGAGAGUUUUGAGUUUUAAAUUAUGUUAAUAAAUUAAUAGAAUUUUAAAUUUUAAACUUUUUCAUAGACUUCUGAAGGUGGUUGAUUCAAUAUCCACUGAGGAUACAGAAACAGAGCUCCCCUGCAUUUCUUAUUGUUUUUCUUUUUCAUUUUCGUUACUGAAUAUAAUUCAGCAAUAGGCUUAUUCAGUUUGGGAAAAUGAACUAUCUGUAUCCGGUGAAGGAAGAGUACCAGGAGGAAGCAUCGUCGUCGUCGUACUUUGUGGCUGGAAAUGACGAGACGAGGAUGGUUCCUCCGCCGCAGCCAAUGGAGGGGCUCCACGAAGCGGGGCCACCACCAUUCCUGACGAAGACGUUCGACGCGGUGGACGAUCCGGCCACAGACCACGUAGUGUCGUGGAGCCGAAGCGGAGCAAGCUUCGUGGUUUGGGAUCCGCACGCCUUCUCCAGAGGCCUUCUUCCAAGAUACUUCAAGCAUAACAACUUCUCCAGCUUCGUAAGGCAGCUCAACACUUACGGUUUUAGAAAGAUUGAUCCAGAUAAAUGGGAAUUUGCGAAUGAAGGGUUUGUGAGAGGGCACAGGCACCUGUUGACAAGUAUAAGGAGAAGGAAGGCGCCUCCGCCACCAAUACAAACGCAGACUUCGCAGUCGCAGCAGGGUCACUGCCUUGAAGUAGGGCGGUUCGGAUUGGAUGAAGAAAUCGACCGGUUGAGGCGUGAUAAGCAGGUUUUGAUGAUGGAGCUUGUGAGGCUAAGACAGCAGCAACAAACCACAAGAUCGUAUCUUCAGGCAAUGGAGCAGAGGCUGAAAGGUACUGAGAUCAAGCAGCAGCAGAUGAUGGCUUUCUUGGCCAAAGCAAUGAAGAACCCCGUGUUUAUACAGCAACUCAUACAGCACAAGGAGAAGAGGAAGGAGCUUGAGGAUGCCAUGACCAAGAAGAGGAGGAGGCCCAUUGAGCAAGGGCCUAGUUGCAGCACCACUACUGUUAAGGUUGAGAAUCCACCAGAGUUUGCUGGUUAUGCUGGUGGCUUUGGAGCUUCUGAGCUUCAAAUUCUGGCUAUGGAGAUGCAAGGAUAUGGUAGAGGGAGGCGAGAGAGUACUGAAUAUGAACAUGAACAUGAACAUGAGCAUGAGCAAGAGCAAGAGCAAGAGCAAGAGAGGCUUGACAAGGAGCUUGAUGACGAAGGCUUCUGGGAAGAGCUGUUCAGUGAGAAUUUUGAGGGUGAUUUGGACAUUUCACAAGAUGAAGAAGAGGAUGUUAAUGUGUUGGCCAAUCGGCUGGGUUACUUGGGUUCAAGUCCUAAGUGAAAGAAAUCAGUAUUGAAUCAAAGUAACAUUUAUUCACUAUUCUUCAUUUUAGGAGGGUUCAUACGGUGGAUGGAAUUUCAACUGUUCAAGCUCAUCAUCGCCUCAAUUGGGGGCAAGACAGUAAAAUCACCCCAGCCACGACAUUAUCUACUAUGGCCUAUGGGGAAUUAAAAAAAUAUUAUUUACAUCUUGGUGUUUCUAAGUUCUAACCUCUCAUUUAAUGUCCUUUUGUAGCACUAGCUACCUGGUAGAACCUCAGUUUUUCUCAUCACUUUGCUUAAUGUUUGGUCAUUAUUAGGUAGGUUGCAGGCGUUGAUUGGAACAAGGAUUCUGUGGUAGUGAUAGCGGUACUAUUACUCAAGAUGAUUGAGAAGAUGUAGAAUGGGUACCAAGUUGCUGAUCCUGAUCUCCCAAGAAUCACAACUGAAUGUUGUUUUAGAGUGAAGAGCCAUCAGUUGACGGUUAACCUUGUCGGUUUGAUAUUUUUUCAUCUCAUCAUCAUCCCUAUGCAUGUGUGAUACUACUUUUUCCUUUUCUUCCAUUGAUUCUACUUUUGCCAUUAGGUGGUCUUAAGAAGAAGAACAAAAACACGAUGCCACCAAUUAGAAAACGAAUUUCAUGAUGUUACAUUUUGUAGCAUGUAGUUAGGUAUCUCCAUGUGUUGAAGAUUCCCAUUUGAGGGGUCUCAAGACGAAACGUGUCGCAUUAUGGAGCAUGAUAUAGUUAUAUAAUAAUGAAAGUGAUCAUUUUUUCUGUUUGUAGAAUUGUGGUGUCUUCCUCACAUUGGAGAUUAGGUAUGCACAUUCACACGGUUGCAAAAGUUGAUUGAAAACCUUCAGGACUUUUUUGUUGUUUUUGUUUGGGUGGGUUUUGGGGCGGGGGGGUUGUUCCUCAUCUUUGAUUAUUGCUACCAGUUUGUGGCUUGUGGGGGACUAAUUUACAAUGUGAUUGUGGGUUGCAUGAUUUGUUGAAUGAAGAUUUGUGAUAUUUCGAAGAGCAAACAGAUUCAUGCUGAGAUAUUUAUGUGCACACCAAAUAAUUUUCCCUUGCUCUUGUCCAUUAGUAAUGGAGAAAUACGUGUGAUUUUUUGGCAAACAAAGCACAUAAAAGUUUAUCAUGGACUUGUCGGGAGCAACCACAAUUAAUUUUCAUACAUU